UGCUCGUCCUAUUAGCGAUCGAGGAUACCGUGAGCAAAAAGAUGAGCAUCGAGGAAGCGAAGAAAACUAUCAAGAACCUGAGGAAAGUUUGCAGCAAGAA